UUUUUUUCCUUUUUUUUCCUUUUUUUUCUUUUUUUUUUCUUUUUUUUUUUCUUUUUUUUUCUUUUUUUUUUCUCUGAAGCUAAUCUUCAGUUAAUAUGGAAUUGUGAGCAUAUAAAUAAAAAAUGUUUGUUGUGUGUUUUUCUUGCAGUAAAUCUGAUCAUUCCUCAUACUGAUGCUCAGAAUAUCUCCCCUAAGGUUCACCUUGAAAUAGGUCUCUUCUACGUGGAGCAGAUCUUCUGCCUUUUUAAGAACAUCUCAAGGCCACCUUGCUGCUGCUUGUUUUCCUUUGCUGGAGGUUGGGACAAGAAGAUGAAAACUUGUAGAAUGAAUUGCUCAAUACCCACCAGUCCUAAACUUUAACCUUACCUCAGCCAGGAAUUUUUGCAGGUGUUUUGAGGACCUAGAGUACACAAAACUAUAUUUUUUAAGCCAGUCUUUUAAUAGAUUUGCUGUGUGUUACUCCUGUCAGUGUGUCUCCAGAAAGAAUAGGCGAGCAAUUUUGUGUUUUCACAGAUAUUUUUUUUUGGUAAGCGAUUCAGUCUGAGGAAAAUUUUGAAUGAAGAACAUUGCAACUAGAAGAUAAAUUGCAAUCAAUACACGUUUCAACAUAAUGUAUGCCUGAAAUUGUACUUACCUAUGCAUGAGCACAAUAAUGGUCAAAAUUCUGACACAAAUAAAGAUAUUUUAGGCUUCUGA